ACACAAAUGAGGCCCAAAGAACAUCUGAUUUUUUAUUUUUUUUAUUUGUAUUUCAGAAGUUCUUCAUGUCUCUGACUGCUUGCUGUGUUUUUUUUGUUUCGUGGGUGCCCUUGUAAAGAAACUCAGAACUGCAGAGUCUGUGGAUUUGAAUCAAGAUAAUUUUCAGAGGGUGUGGAGGGAUUUCUUGCGUCUGUCUGCAGUUUGGAGAGGAACAGGUCGGAGGCUAACAGUUGUUUGGGAGAGAAAAAAUUGCAUGCAUGGUUAAGUGGUUUCAUCUGUAUGCUGCCAAUGGCUCAUGACCACUCUUAAUCUUUGAAAGUUAUGACUGGACUGUUAAUCUUGUGUAAGGAAGCUUGUAGGCAAGUUUGGAUAAUGAGCUCAGUGGCUGCAUUCUGACAAUCACAAUUUGCACCUCGGUAAUUUGGAAGUAACUCAGCAGCUCUCAUCAAGUGUCAAGCUUUAAAGAAGAAAUCAGUUACCCAAUUCUUCCCAAAUUUCCCCUGGAUAACUGAUGCAUCCCACCACAAUUUUCAGCACCAGCUAUCAAGAGAGGAUUGGGUGACCCAUUUCUUCCAUCAAGUUUGAGACCUGGUGAAAAUAGCUGCACCUGGGUUUGGCACGUAAUUACUGAGGUGCAAAUGUUAUCUAGAUAACAUUGUAAGAAAUAUCCUGCUUUUCUAAAUGUGUGAUUCCUGUCGUUUCAGGGGCAGAUUCAAUCUGGUCCCUGUGGCAGUAUAUGUUCUAGGGCAAAAUCCUGAAAAAAGAUCAACAAUCUUGGUUGGCCCUCACGCACGUUCACUUCAUCAAAUCUGGCCCUCUUUGAAAAAAGUUUGGGCACUCCUGCUAUAGUGCAUCCAAAACCUGUCUGUUGCAUCUAAGUGUGCUGCUAAUCUACAAAAGGUGUCAAUGAUUUGCUCAGUUAAGAUGGACUCCGCUGUGCCACUGGGCAUUAGGACAGGAAUGCCAUAUCACUUGUCCUGGAACAUAAUAAGUCUAUGCUCUUUGGAGAAAGCAAUCUGGUUGAAAAGGCAGCUGUGCUUGGAGACUGGACAAGUCGCGGAGUCAACCAAUAAUGGCCAUGCAACGUAGCAAAACUGAAUGUGUUUUAGUGGUGAACUGCAACCUGCAUUUUAAAAUGCCUGUCAUGUUCUUUGUCUUUUUCUUAUUUGCCAAUCCCCACAAAUCUGGUCAGCCCAUAAAUAGCCUUUCUCCUUGGGAGUGUGUCCAUGAGAGUGGCUGAGCGACAGGCAUCUCGUUAGAUUGCAACAUAAACAAGACUACAAAUGUAUCAUACAGCAGUAACUUGGUACUCAUCCAUCUCCUCCCACCACCCAACUUCAUUUUUGUUUUGCAAAUGAAAUUUGUACUCUCUUGUGAUUUAUGUUUUUGGUCUUUCUGGAAACACUGAACUGAAAGGAUAACACUUAUAACAAGAUUAAAGGCUGCUGACCUUCACCACUGAUGGUGAAGAAAACAGAAAUCCUUAUUUAAUAAUUAUUCUAAAAGACCCAUUAAGCCAGAACAUCAAUCAUCUACUCUGCAGAGCUUACAAUGACUUUAAACUACCAUCCUGUACUGUUUCAUAUACACAAUCAGGCAGCUUUUGUGUUAUUGAAUAUGCUAGUUGUUUUAUGAUAAUCUAUAUGUCAAAAGCCCAGCUCCCAUCAUACUCAAGGAUUAUCAUAAAAUCCAUCAUGGGACUAUAUAGGCAGAGGAGAGACUAAAGUCUAGUAGCAAUACAUAAUUGACCUGUGUGCCAGGGAUACCUGGCAUGUGCCCUUCAAAUGUAGCUGGACAACUCCUAGUAUCCCUGACUACUGGCCAUGCUGGCUAGGGCUGAUGGCUGUUGGAAUAAUAAUGAUACUGAUAACAAUUUUAUUAUUUGUACCCUGCCCACAUGACUGGGUUGCCCCCAGCUUGUAGAGGGUACUACAUGGGCUACCUCUUCUGUGUGCCCUUCCCCCAAUAAUGACUUUUCUGGUAAAGGGGGCCUGUUUUAGGUGAAUAUACUGAAAUUCUAAGAACACACCUCUGUGCAAAAGCUGGUCAAGGCUAUGAUUCACAUUCCAUUAAAUUAAGCGGAGAAACUUCCACUGGGUUAUAGAGGAGCUGAGAAAGCAUCUUAUAAAUGUUUGUCUUUUUUGUAUUGUUUUUUAAAAAUAUGUUUGUGCUCUUGAUACAGAGUCCUGUGAAUUGUCAUAACGUGUGCCUACCUGUGAACACGAAUAAAAAUCCACAGUGA